rnacentral:rRNA from 1 species
ACAGCAGCAGCCGCGGGAAUACGGAGGGGGCUAGCGUUGUUCGGAAUUACUGGGCGUAAAGCGCACGUAGGCGGCUUUGUAAGUUAGAGGUGAAAGCCCGGAGCUCAACUCCGGAAUUGCCUUUAAGACUGCAGAGCUAGCAGGUGAGAGAAGUGAGUGGAAUUCCGAGUGUAGAGGUGAAAUUCGUAGAUAUUCGGAAGAACACCAGUGGCGAAGGCGGCUCACUGGCUCAUGCUGGACGCUGAGGUGCGAGAGCGUGGGGAGCAAACAGGAUUAGAUACCCCAGUAGUCCCUGUCUCUUAUAC